rnacentral:lncRNA from 1 species
GCAAGUGUUUCACUCAAUCACUCAAGUGUUUAGGGUGGCACUCCAACUCUCUAUCAUUCACAAGUCACAAGAAAUAAAAUUGUCAUUCAUCUCACACAAUCAACAUCUUUACAUGCAAAUGCCAUCAAAAGGACUUUUCCAAGGCUUGUAAUGAGGUUGGGCUAACAAGAAGAAUUGGUUUUUCUGGAAUGCAAAAUCCUUGAGUCAAGAGAGCUAUCAUAGUAUUCAACAUUUAAGCACAACUCUCUUCCUCACCAAUCUCACUCAUUCCCAACUUUUUUCCCUUUUCUUUUUCAUUGAGCUCAUCUUCAUGUUUUUUCUUAUUUUUUUUUUCUUUUUCACAUGCAUUUUUAUUUUUCAACAAUUGAGCUCAAUGCUUCUUAAAAGCUUUCCAAUUUCCCCCAUGCAACCCCAAACUUGA